UACGAAGGGGGCUAGCGUUGCUCGGAAUCACUGGGCGUAAAGGGUGCGUAGGCGGGUCUUUAAGUCAGGGGUGAAAUCCUGGAGCUCAACUCCAGAACUGCCUUUGAUACUGAGGAUCUUGAGUUCGGGAGAGGUGAGUGGAACUGCGAGUGUAGAGGUGAAAUUCGUAGAUAUUCGCAAGAACACCAGUGGCGAAGGCGGCUCACUGGCCCGAUACUGACGCUGAGGCACGAAAGCGUGGGUAGCGAACGGG
rnacentral:rRNA from 1 species